rnacentral:rRNA from 1 species
GACAACUAGCUGUUGGGAGACAAGAUCUCUCAGUGGCGCAGCUAACGCUUUAAGUUGUCCGCCUGGGGAGUACGGCCGCAAGGUUAAAACUCAAAUGAAUUGACGGGGACCCGCACAAGCGGUGGAGCAUGUGGUUUAAUUCGAUGCAACGCGAAAAACCUUACCUACUCUUGACAUACUUGGAAGCUCUUGUAAUGAGAGUGUGCUUUUAGAGCCAAGAUACAGGUGCUGCAUGGCUGUCGUCAGCUCGUGUCGUGAGAUGUUGGGUUAAGUCCCAUAACGAGCGCAACCCUUACCCUUAUUUGCCAGCGGUUCGGCCGGGAACUAUAAGGGGACUGCCGGUGACAAACCGGAGGAAGGUGAGGACGACGUCAAGUCAUCAUGGCCCUUACGAGUAGGGCUACACACGUGCUACAAUGGGGAAUACAGACGGACGCUAAAGCGUGAGCUGGUGCCAAUCCUAAAAAAUUUCUCGUAGUCCGGAUUGCAGUCUGCAACUCGACUGCAUGAAGUCGGAAUCGCUAGUAAUCGCGAAUCAGCAUGUCGCGGUGAAUACGUUCUCGGGUCUUGUACACACCGCCCGUCACACCAUGGAAGUGUGUUGCACCAGAAGUAGGUAGUCUAACCUUCGGGAAGGCGCUUACCACGGUGUGAUCCAUGACUGGGGUGAAGUCGUAACAAGGUAACCG